GAAUUACUGUGUGAAGGAACGGCUUCACUUUUGAUUAGGGAAAUAAUAUGCUUACUUUUGGGUUUAUGAAGAUCUCGUAACAAUCUGGGGGAGAUGCCGGGGUAAAAAGAGUGAGCUCGGACGAAGGGGUCCGAGAAAAGAACACCGUGAAGUUGAGCAAGGUGUUUUAACUGACUCAGGAUUUCAGAGAAUCGAGUCAGCUGUGAUCUCGAGUUUUAAUGAACCCGUGCCCACUUGGCCCCCAUAUCAGGCGAAGCAUGGAAGGCUGGACAGCCCAUGACGGGUAAGAUCCCACCUCGAAACCCUGGGACAACCUAAGGCAAGGCGCAGUCACGAUUGUUGAACCUAGGUCCCUAAGUGAGCUGGACUCACUGGAGGAGAC
ensembl:lncRNA